rnacentral:pre_miRNA from 1 species
UCUAACUUUCUGUGCCAACGUUAUAUGAAAUUUUUUUAUAAUUAGUAUUUUUAUUAUUGUUACAUAAUAAAAUAUGAUUAAUACUUUAUGCAUGACUUAUCUUUUUAAUUUUUUUCAUAAUUUUUUAAAUAAGACGGACGGUUAAAUGUUGGACACAGAAACUAGGG